AGCGAACGCUGGCGGCAGGCCUAACGCAUGCAAGUCGAACGAAGCCUUCGGGCUUAGUGGCGGACGGGUGAGUAACACGUGGGAACGUACCUUUUGGUUCGGAACAACUCAGGGAAACUUGAGCUAAUACCGGAUGAGCCCUUAGGGGGAAAGAUUUAUCGCCGAAAGAGCGGCCCGCGUUAGAUUAGCUAGUUGGGGAGGUAAAGGCUCACCAAGGCAACGAUCUAUAGCUGGUCUGAGAGGAUGAUCAGCCACACUGGGACUGAGACACGGCCCAGACUCCUACGGGAGGCAGCAGUGGGGAAUCUUGCGCAAUGGGCGAAAGCCUGACGCAGCCAUGCCGCGUGAAUGAUGAAGGUCUUAGGAUUGUAAAAUUCUUUUACCAGGGACGAUAAUGACGGUACCUGGAGAAAAAGCCCCGGCUAACUUCGUGCCAGCAGCCGCCGUAAGAC
rnacentral:rRNA from 1 species